rnacentral:rRNA from 1 species
CAGUAGCCGCGGUAAUACGGAGGGGGCUAGCGUUGUUCGGAAUUACUGGGCGUAAAGCGCACGUAGGCGGCUUUGUAAGUCAGAGGUGAAAGCCCGGGGCUCAACCCCGGAAUUGCCUUUGAGACUGCAUCGCUUGAAUCCAGGAGAGGUGAGUGGAAUUCCGAGUGUAGAGGUGAAAUUCGUAGAUAUUCGGAAGAACACCAGUGGCGAAGGCGACUGACUGGACAAGUAUUGACGCUGAGGUGCGAAAGCGUGGGGAGCAAACAGGAUUAGAUACCCCAGUAGUCCCUGUCUCUUAUAA